CUUCGGGCUCCGCACAACGCCUGCCCUGUGAACCCCGCCAGGCCGGGAACGGAGCAACGGUAGCAGUGGCCGCGUGUGUUGCGGGUCAGUCCGGAGUCU
rnacentral:SRP_RNA from 1 species